rnacentral:lncRNA from 1 species
GCCUUCGUCAUUCCCCAUUCUGGAAGAAAGAGUCUUCCUGUGGACUUAUGUCAGGAAGUCAGUCCUACUCCCACUACUGGUGAUGCUCCUCUGCCAGUGCCACGUCCUCCAGGAAGUCUUCCUAAUGUCCCCACUAGAACCAUUCUCUGCUCUGCUCCACUCCGGUGGCUCUGCAUGGCACCAUCUUCCCAAACAUUCCCUGGGGCUGGCCCCCCACUGGCAUCUGUCCACCUUUCCAGACUUUGUUCCCCUCGGUGGUCAGUGAUGGGGGCAGUGGUCGCGGCCUGGGUACCUACUCUGCUGGGAGAAAGACUUGAGUCUUGGCCUGGGACUGCUUUUGUAUUUUCCCUAGGACUUUGGGGACAAUGGCUUCACUCUCUGGGGGGGUCUCCCCAUAGCUAGAAAGCUAGCGAGGCCUGUUCUGUUCUCAGUGCCUCUGAUCUGUAGUUCUGCAUGGGCUCACCCUGUGCUCUUGGCUUAGCUGUUUCGCUCUCUGCACCUCAGCUUCCUUGCUCAUUACACAGUGGCCUGCUUCUAGAAUGGCCUGUAGAUCCAGAGAUGGGUCAUGACGUUUAUUACAUUUCAUGCGUUAUUGUGUGUGUCUCACUAUAUGUUCUGGGGCUUGGGCCCAGAUUGUCAGGCUCAUGCCGAAAGCCUUUACCCACUGAGCCAUCCUGCUGGCCCUUCCCACUGUGUAUGUGUAUGGCCUGGGGAUAUGGAUGUUGGAAUGUGUGUGGGUGCACAUGUGUGUGCAUAUGUGUGCAUGUGGAGACCCAGUGUUGACAUGAGAAGUCUUCCGUGACUGCUGUCAUUGUGAUGGGAUCUUUCCAGUGAACCUGCUACUCCUCAAGGGCUGGCUAGUCUAGCUACCCAGCUUGCUCUAGGGUCCUGUCUCUGUCAUACCCAUCCGGCAUGGUCAUGGGUAGAAAGGAUUUGAACUCCACUCUUCACUCUUGCACAACCUGUGCUUUGACCACAGCCUGUCCCCAUCCUCCUGACAAGUGACUCUUGGCCCCGGGGAAGCUGAACCAAAGCCAGCACUCCGAGACCCUCCCCCGUGCGUGUUGGGAACGGCUUCUUCCUCCCUGAGUGGAGCUUAAGAGGAAUGCUUAUUUUCCCACUGACUCUUCCGAAAGCCACCAAUUCCCACUCCGUGAAGGAAACUGAGGCCCAGCGAGGAAAAAGAACUUGUUUGGGGCCACACAGUGUGGCUCUGCAGGGACCCCAGGCAUCCUGAGUCUCAGGCCACCCACAGCACUUCCCUUUCUGGGCAGCCUGCUGCUCAGGUCCCAGAGCCCCAGAACUGACUCAUGCAGAGGUCCUCUCUCUUGCCCAGCGUUUAGAAGACAGCUGUCCUGGCUGAUGUGCUGCCGAGCAUUCUGAAGGUCCCCGAGAUGGCCUGCUGAUGAGUCAGGAGCUGUAAGUCACAGGAACUGAACCACGAUGGCUUAAACUGGAAGCGCAGAGCCU